CAAUCAGCAAAGUCAGGGCAUUAUUAUCAAUUCUUUUGAAGAUAAAAAAAAAAGUUAGGGGUAGACUGCUAAGAAGUAGAGGAGAGCUCCCUUAUUGUAUCAUUGUGCGUCAAUAAACACUAAGUGCAACCUGAGGUUAUGUAUAAAUUAUAAUCUUUGAAAAAUUGUUAGAAUUUAUCCUAUUCAUGAAUUGAGCAUAUUUUUUUUACACUUCCUUCUAUACUCUCAUUGAGGGCACAAGAAUUGUGUAUUAGGUGGCACCAUAUUUGUCAUCAGUGCAGAAAUAGUAGGAAAGCAACUGUAUUUUAAGGAAUUG